AAGUCGUAACAAGGUUUCCGUAGGUGAACCUGCGGAAGGAUCAUUAACACGUGCUCCACGUAUUAAACACUAAACUAAUGAGAACUCGUUUUCCGCCGCCCCUUUGUUAGAAUGAAUGGGUAAUCAGUUUUCCAGGUAGUGAGUGGGAUCGGUAUCGGUCAGCCUGGCUGUACACAAGCAUACAACUCUUAGCAAUGGAUAUCUUGGUUCUC
rnacentral:misc_RNA from 1 species